rnacentral:tRNA from 3 species
GCGACCGUAGCUCAAUUGGAUAGAGCAUCGGUCUACGAAACCGAAGGUUGGAGGUUCGAGCCCUCCCGGUCGCG